UCUCUGACCCAAUGCAUUGGCAACAUCAUCAACUCUACCAGACCACCAGAAGUAGCCGUCUUCAUCCAUGAUCCCUCUGUCACCUGUGAGCUAGAAACAAGAGUAAUGAUGGCACUUCACUCAGAGGUUUGUCCUGAGGCUUAAAUGAGGCAACAUGGACACAGCAUUUUAGCACAAGGCCAGAUGUGAUGGUGCUGAUGUUUAAGAAGAAAGUCCUUAUUAGGAGGAUGCUGCUGAAAUAUUUAAGGACAAAGUGUCAUAAUGUCUGCAUUUACUCCCAAAUGUCUCAUCAAAAAUGUGCAAAUAUGAAGUAAAUGGGGCAAAAUCUUAAUAAGAAGUGAAUGUAGGUGGUGAAGCCCCCUAAUGUCCUGACUCCACAGUUCCUGUCCCAUGACCAGGGCCAGCUCACCAAAGAGCUAUAGCAGCACAUAAAGUCAGUGACAGGCCCAUGCAAGUACCAAAGGAAGGUGAGUGAGCACAGACAGAUGGGGCCUGGUGCCCUUGAGCAGUUUCUGACUUUCAGCUGCCCUGUGUCUCAUAGCGUGGCCAUGCUGGGGGAAGCUUAGGCAGUCACAGUACUGGCCUUUUCCUCCUUUUUCAUUCCAUCUGAGUGGCUUAGGGAUGGGGUGGAUGAAAACCACUGUCUUGUGUCAGAAACCCAAAAGGAAUCAUUGCUGGCAUGUUAAGCUAAAGAAAAACAACCAGACAAGUGCCCAACAGUACUUAAAAAGUUAUAAUCCUGCAAAAUUCAAAAAGGGAAAUCCAAAUAAGCAGCUUCUAAACUAUUUUUAAACAUUACAAUAAAAAUACCUUCCAUAUUGCAUAUAUAUGUGCUUAUAUGAAUAAUAGAAUUAACAAAACAUAGUUAUUUUAUAACAUGUAAUACAUUCUUAUUUUUAAUUCUCUUUCAUUUGUUUUAAAUGCUGUGUGCAAUCUACAAAAAGUUCAAUAGUAAUAAUUAAAUUAUUCAUUAAAUUGAGCAUUACUUGUAAUUUAAAAUGAUAAUCUUAAACACAAUCUUAUUUUUGAGAUAAAAAUAUUUUAGCAAUAUACUAUUAAGAGAAAAACACUGGCUAUGAAAGAAUUUACAUAGUUUCAUCCUAUCUGUUUGAAAAUAAAGUUUGGAAGAAUACAUUUGAAAAAUAGUUAACAUUUCCUUUUUUGUAGUACUUUGCGGCAUUGUCUAAAUAUUGACAGUCAAUACACAUUAUGAAGUUACAUGGUUAACGUUGAUUGAGUACUCACUGUGUGUGCCAGGCCCUGGGCUCAGUGCUCUGUGUGCAUUUUUAUUUUAUUUAAUCCUCUCCACAAUGUGAGAUAGUAUAGCCAACUCAUGUUACAGAGGUGAAACAGGCUCAGAGAUUGAAAGUUAAAUGCCUGAGGUUGCAGUCAAUAAGAGGAAGAGCUGUAACUGAAACCUAUGUGUGUCUGACGAGCAGUUCAUGUUCUGAUGGUAGGCUAGUCUGCUUAACAGAGUGUGGAAUAGAUGGUGCAUGCAUACUAGGAUGGGCUAGAUACCACUGUGGGUCACAAACAGUCUUAAACAAUGGAGGUUGUUUUCCUGCUCAUGCUGCACGUCCAUCAUGGCUCUCCUGGGCCCUGUGCACCACAUCUUCUUAUCCUGCUGCCAGGGUAAAGGAGCAGCCUCCAUGUGGAACCUGUCAGGUGCUCUCGGAGAUAGAGAAGAGGGUGUCCAGUCUCAAUGGCUCCCAACUCUUCUGCCUCAAGGUGACAUGCUUCGCUUCCACUCACUUUUGGGUCAAAGCAAAUCACAUGGCUACACCCAACUUAAACGGCCCACGUGGAGAAGCUGAAAUACUCAGUGGACACCAUUAAGGCCACCAUAUGGUGUUAGCCUGUGUGGGAGACUGUGGAGGGGCAGAGGAGGAGAGUAGGGGAUUGGUAGGAAAUGACAGCAGGACUAAGUCACCACAGAUUUGCUUUAUCUUCAGCCAGGUGGAGUUUGUCCCAGAGCUGCCAAAAACCGUCACUGGCAAGAUUAAACGGGAACUUCAAGUUUGGUCAGAUGUAGUCAGCAGUGAACUCAGAAAUGACUGAAUGACAUUGAGUCAGUAAAUCCCUGACUGCCUCAGUUACCCCACAUGAUAGUGGUGAGGAUGGGAGCAUUGAAAGAGUUGAUUUGGAAGGAUAUCAGGAGUGUGAAAAUUCCAACAUUUUACUUCAAGUUAAAUCCAGGCACUAUCCUUCCUGCAAGUCCCCUGUUUCUUUCAGAUUGCACAGGUGAGAGUGCUCAGAUUAGGGCUGUAGGUUAUAAAAUAUUGGCUCCCACAUGAACAGUUCCCCUGUGUCGUGUUUGUAUUCUGAGCAUUUUUCUGUGCUAAACACUUCCCCAAAACAUCCUGGGUCCUGAUUCUUCCUCCUUGUUCUGUCAGUGCUGGGUGACGCAAGUGCCCAUUUUUUGGCCAGGACACAGAAGUCUCAGAGGGAUGCUCUGUGAGGCCCCAGGUGCCAGCCUCUGCCCUGCUGGAAUGUGAGGCAAGGGACAGGGCAUCUUCUGUGAGGGGGCAGUGGUCAGCCAGCUUGGUGACUAUGCUUGCUUAUCAGACCAUCCCACACCUGCCACCUCUGAUGAAUCUACUGCCUCUGUGCCUGCCUGUACUGCUGAUACAGGACUCACUCAGCUGUCCCCAGGCGUGCCCAGACUUUCAUUCCUAUCCAGAACCUAGGAGUCCUGCCCACUGGCCCUCCCUCAUCAGCAGUAAAUGAUGAUUUACUGCUGUUAUCAUCAUGACUGCCUUUAGCAUCUGAGAACUUUCCAGGGUGCCAGCUCUGGAAGGACAGAUGCCCUUGGGAGGUGCUGACACUCAGGUACACAGGUGCUCAACAGAUUUCUUCCUCCUGUCCUCAGACAGUCUUUGCAUGUAGCCAUUGGCACUCCCAUUGUAUGGAAGGAAACCAGCCCAGGGUCACACAGCUGGUCAGCAGCACAGCUGGUCUCAAAUCCAAGGUGCUUGGCCUUGCCUCCAUGAGGGACCUGCCUGUGAGGUUGACACUGGCUUUGGGGAGCCUUUCCUGGGCUGCAUAAAUAACCUACCCUGUUUGAGGCCCCAAACUCUGCUCAUAUUGCCCUCCUUUCCUUAUGUCUACUUGGGCUAUAAUCAAGGUGACCCCAGCAACCCUUCACGGACAUUAUGGUAAUCUGUGCCGUUCACUUUUGUGCAGAUCUGACUUCAACCCCCUCUUGGUCUCUCCUUUUACAAGCAAGACAACUGAAACUGGGGGUCUUUAUGCAGCCAAGACUGACCAUGAGGAACACUUGGAGCUCAGGAAGGAAAGAUCAGCCCAGAAGCAGGGACAGGGAGCUGGUUGGGGAGGAUGAGAAGUCAGAAGGGGGCCCUGAGAAAACCAGGACAUGCGGGUCCAGUGGCUGCUGUUUUGGCUCCUCCUGCUUGGGUUUCCCAGCCAUCAAUCCACCCAUCUGGCACAGGAUUGACUCCUGGUGGAACCCAACUCAGUGAUCUGUGCAGUGUGGUGUUUUCCAAACUGGCCAAGGUGUCUGCAGGGCCCUCAGAAUUUUCCAAGCAAGAAAAGAUUUGGCUACUUGGAGAAACUUCAUCCUUCUGGAGGUUUGGACUAGUGGUAAACUCCUGUGAUUCUAAAGCAUUCCAUAGCAGAAUCCACUGAUGAUGACAAACUGAACCUUGGUGUUCCUGGAUUAGUGGGAGGUGGUGAAAGGAUUCUGUGGUAGUUCAGGUGUUCACAGCUCUCUUGCUUUUGACAGAAUUUCUUAAGUAUUUUUUUAAAAAGAAUUUAAAAAUUUAAAGCGAAUUACCAUAUCAUCUAGCAAUUCUACUUGUGGGUACAUACCUGAAAGAAAUGCAAGUAACUUAUCAUAGAGAUAUAUCCACACCCCUGUUCAUAGCAGCACUAUUCACAAUAUCCAAAAAGUAGAAACAUCACAAGUGACCACUGAGGAAGUAAUGUGGUGCAAAUAUACAAUGGAAGAUUAUUUAUCCUUAAAAGAAAGUAAAUUUUGACACAUGCUAUGCCAUGAAUGAAAUUUAAAGAUAUUAAUGCAAAGUGAAAUAAGACAGCCACAAUCAUACAAAAUACUAUGUGACUGGCUUAUCUAAGGUACCUAGAAAUACACAAGUUCAUAGAUAUAGAAAAUUUCUAUGGGUUGUUAUAUGGGGGGUAGUCAGGAAUAGGAGGAAAUUGAGGAUGGGUAGUUACUGUUUAAUGAUACAAAGUUCAGUUUUGCAAGAUGAAAAGAGUUCUUGAGACAGUGAUGUUUGUUGCAUAAUAAUUUGAAUGUAAUUAUGGAUGCUAAAAUAUACACUCUAAAUGAUCAAUAUAGUUAAUUUUGUUAUGUAUAUAUUAUCACAAUUAAUAAAAUAUCAUUUGUGUCUUAAAAAAAGUAUUACUUGUAUUAUCUAGACAUUAAAAUAGAAUGAGAAUACUUAGUGUUUAUUGAACAAAGCUACCCUGACAACUAUAGUAAAAUGAAGAUGCAAAAGAGCAUAAGGGAAGCCAUUCAUGGGGCAUGUAUUGGUGAAAAGCUGUGCCCUCAAAUACUUCACUCCUUGCAAUUCCUUUUUAUAGGCAUCACCUCCAGAAUCUACUUGAAGUGGAUGACACUGACUUCCAUGAACUGUUUUCCUGUGAGUAAUUUCUCCAUUUUAGACAGAGUUAUCCAUGGGAAGGUGAGUCUGAUCAAGCUGCUUGACCAUGAUCAGAACAAUUUGCUUCCCCAUUGCAUCAUCAAACUUUAAUUUAAAAAGCCCCACUUUCUGUCCGUCCCCAUAGCUCCUCCCUCACCCACCAAAAUGAGUCACUUGGGGCAGUGGUGGGCAGAUGAUUUCAGAUAUCCUGAUCUCAAUUCCCUGAUGUCAGUACGUCUGCACAUUCUUUGUUUUUUUUUUUUCAACUUUUAAGUUCUGGAGUACACAUACAGGAUAUGCAGGUUUGUUACAUAAGUAAACAUGUGCCAUCGUGGUUUGCUGCAAAGAUCAUAGCAUUACCUAGGUAUUAAGCCCAGCAUCCAUUAGUUAUUCCUCUUGAAGCUCUCCCUCCCCCAGCUCCCUGCUCCAAGAGGCCCCAGUGUGUGUUGCUUCCCUCUAGGUGUCCAUGUGUUCUCAUCAUCAAGCUCCCACUAAUAAGUGAGAACAUGUGGUAUUUUGUUUUCUGUUCCUGCAUUAGUUUGCUGAGGGUGAUGGCUUCCAACUCCAUCCAUGUCCCUGCAGAGGAGAUGAUCUCAUUCCUUUUUAUGGCUGUAUAGUAUUCCAUGGUGUGUAUGUACCACAUUUUCUUUAUCCAGUUUAUCAUUGAUGGGCAUUUAGGUUGAUUCCAUAUCUUCGCUAUUGCGAGUAGUGCUGCAAUAAACAUAUGCAUGCAUAUAUCUUUAUAAUAGAAUGAUAUAUAUUCCUUUGGAUAUAUACCUACUAAUGGGAUUGCUGGGUCAAAUGGUAUUUCUGCCUCUGGAUUUUUGAAAAAUCACAACACUGUCUUUCACAGUGCAAACCACCGUGAAACUAAUUUACACUCCCACCAACAGUGUAAAAGUUUUCAUUUUUCUCCACAAUCUUGCCAGCAUCUGUUGAUUUUUGACUUUUUAAUAAUAGCCAUUCUGACUGGCAUGACAUGGUAUGUCAUGUAUAUCAUUGUCAUUUUGAUUUGCAUUUCUCUAAUAAUACACUUAUUAUUUAGGAGCUUUUUUUCAUAUAUUUUUUGGCCGCAUGUGUAUAUUUUAAGAAGUGUCUGUUCAUGUCCUUCGCCACUUUUUAACAGUGUUAUUUGUGUUUGUCUUUUAAAUUUGUUUAAGUUACAUGUAGCUUCUGGAUAUUAGACCUUUGUCCAAUAGAUAGAUUGCAAAAAUUGUCUCCCCUUCUGUAGGUUGUCUGUUCACUCUGAUGAUGGUUCCGUUUGCUGUGUGGAAGCUCUUAAGUUGGAUUAAAUUCCAGUCGUCAAUUUCUGCUUUUGUUAUAAUUGCUUUUGGAGAUUUCAUCAUGAAAUCUUUGCCCAUACCUAUGUCUUCAACGGUAUUGCCUAGAUUUUCUUCUAGGGUUUUUAUUUUAAAUUUAUACUUUAAGUUCUGGGGUACAUGUGCAGAAUAUACAGGUUUGUUACAUAGGUAUAAAUGUGCCAUGGUGGUUUGCUGCACCUAUCAACCCAUCAUCUAUAUUAGGUAUUUCUCCUAAUGCUCUCCCUCCUCUAGCCCCCGCUGUGUGUGAUAUGCCCCUCCCUGUGUCUAUGUGUUUUCAUUUUUCAACUCCCACUUAUGAGUGAGAACAUGUGGUGUUUGGUUUUCUGUUCCUGUGUUAGUUUGCUGAGAGUGAUGGUUUCCAGCUUCAUCAUGUCCCUGCAAAGGACAUGAACUCAUCCUUUUUUAUGGCUGCAUAGUAUUCCAUGGCAUAUAUGUGCCACAUUUUCUUUAUCCAUUCUAUCAUUGAUGGGCAUUUGGGUUGGUUCCAAGUCUUUGCGAUUGUGAAUGGUGCCACAAUAAAAAUAUAUGUGUGUGUGUGUGUGUGUGUGUGUGUGUGUCUUUAUCGGAGAAUGAUUUAUAAUCCUUUGGGUGUAUACCCAGUAAUGAGAUUACUGGGUCAAAUGGUAUUUCUAUGACCAGUGAUGAUGAGCUUUUUUUCAUAUGUUUGUUGGCUGUAUAAAUGUCCUCUUUUGAGAAGUGUCUGUUCUGAUGGGGUUGUUCGUUGCUUGUAAAUUUGCUUAAGUUCCUUGUAGAUUCUGGAUAUUAGCCCUUUGUCAGAUGGAUAGAUUGAAAAAAUUUUCUCCCAUUCUGUUUGUUGCCUGUUCACUCUGAUGAUAGUUUCUUUUGCUACAUAGAAGCUCUUUAGUUUAAUUAGACUCCAUUUGUCAAUUUUGGCUUUUGUUGCCAUUGCUUUUGGUGUUUUCUCAUGAAGUCCUUGCCCAUGCCUAUGUCCUGAAUGGUAUUGCCUAGAUUUUCUUCUGUGGUUUUUAGGGUUUUAGGUCUUAAGUCCUUAAUCCAUCUUGAGUUAAUUUUUGUAUAAGGUAUAUGGAAGGAGUCCACUUUCAGUUUUCUGCAUAUGGCUAGCCAGAUUUCCCAACACCAUUUAUUAAAUAGGGUAUGCUUUCCCCAUUGCUUGUUUUUGUCAGGUUUGUCAAAGAUCAGAUGGUUGUAGAUGUGUGGUGUUAUUUCUGAGGCCUCUGUUCUGUUUCAUUGGUCUAUAUAUCUGUUUUGGUACCAGUACCAUGCUGUUUUGGUUACUGUAGACUUGUAGUAUAGUUUGAAGUCAGGUAGAGUGAUGCCUCCAGCUUUGCUCAUUUUGCUUAGGAUUGUCUUGACUAUGCAGGCCAAGACAUACAUUUCAUAUGGAAUUUAAAGUAGUUUUUCCCAAUUCUGUGAAGAAGGUCAAUGAUAGCUUGAUGGGAAUGGAAUGGAAUCAAUAAAUUACUUUGGGCAGUUUGGCCAUUUUCACGAUAUUGAUUCUUCCUAUCCAUGAGCAUGGAAUGUUUUUCCAUUUGCUUGUGUCUUCUCUUAUUUCCUUGAGCAGCUCUUAGCAGUCGUCCUUGAAGAGGUCCUUCACAUCUCUUGUAAGUUGUAUUCCUAGGUUUUUAAUUCUCUUUGUAGCAAUUGUGAAUGGGAGUUCACUCAUGAUUUGGCUCUCUGUUUGUCUGUUAUUGGCAUGUAGGAAUGCUUGUGAUUUUUGCACAUUGAUUUUUUAUCCUGAGAAUUUGCUGAAGUUGCUUAUCAGCUGAGGACACUUUGGGCUGAUACGAUGGGGUUUUCUAAAUAUACAAUCAUGUCAUCUGCAAACAGAGACGAUUUGACUUCCUCUCUUCCUAUUUGAAUACCCUUUAUUUCUUUCUCCUGCCUGAUUGCCCUGGCCAGAACUUCCAAAACUAUGUUGAAUAGGAGUGGUGAGAGAGGGCAUCCUUGUCUUGUGCUGGUUUUCAAAGGGAAUGCUUCCAGUUUUUGCCCAUUUGAUAUGAUAUUGACUGUGGGUUUGUCAUAAGUAGCUCUUAUUAUUUUGAGAUACGUUCCAUCAGUACUUAGUUUAUUGAGAGUUUUUAGCAUGAAGAGGUGUUGAAUCUUGUCAAAGGACUUUUUUACAUCUAUCGAAAUAAUCAUGUGGUUUUUGUCACUGGUUCUGUUUAUGUGAUGGAUUACAUUUAUUGAAUUGUGUAUGUUGAACCAGCCUUGCAUCCCUGGUAUGAAGCCGACUUGAUCAUGGUAGAUAAGCUUUUUGAUGUGCUGCUGGAUUCGGUUUGCCAGUAUUUUAUUGAGGAUUUUCGCAUUGAUGUUCAUCCAGGAUUUUGUCCUGAAAACUUUUUUUCUUGUUUCUCUGACAGGUUUUGAUAUCAGGAUAAUGCUGGCUUCAUAAAAUGAGUUAGGGAGGUUUCCCUCUUUUUCUACUGUUUGGAAUAGUUUCAGAAGGAAUGGUAUCAGCUCCUCUUUGUACUUCUGGUAGAAUUCGGCUGUGAAUCAGUCUGUUCCUGGACUUUUUUUGGUUGAAAGGUUAUUAAUUACUGCCUCAAUUUCACAACCUAUUAUUUGUCUAUUCAGGGAUUUGACUUCUUCCUGGUUUAGACUGGGAGGGUGUAUGUGUCCAGGAAUUUAUCCAUUUCUUCUAGAUUUUCUAGUUUAUUCAUGUAGAGGUGUUUAUAGUAUUCUCUGAUGGUAGUUUGUAUUUCUGUGGGAUCAGUGGUGAUAUCCCCUUUAUCAUUUUUUAUUGUGUCUAUUUGAUUCUUCUCUCUCUUCUUCUUUAUUACUCUGGCUAGCGGUCUAUCUAUUUUGUUGAUCUCAAAAAAACAGGUUCUAGAUUCAUUUAUUUUUGGAGGGUUUUUUGUGCCUCUAUCUCCUUCAGUUCUGCUCUGAUCUUAGUUAUUGUCUUCUGCUAACUUUUGAAUUUCUUUGCUGUUGCUUCUAUAGUUCUGUUAAUUGUGAUGUUAGGGUGUCAAUUUUAUAUCUUUCCUGCUUUCUUUUGUGGGCAUUUACUGCUAUAAAUUUCCCUCUACACACUGCUUGAAAUGUGUCCCAGAGAUUCUGGUACAUUGUGUCUUUGUUCUGAUUGGUUUGAAAGAAUGUCUUUAUUUCUGCCUUAAUUUCAUUAUUUACCCAGUAGUCAUGCAGGUUGUUCAGUUUCCAUGUAGUUGUGCAAUUUUGAGUGAGUUUCUUAAUUCAGAGUUCUAAUUUGAUUUCACUGUGGUCUGAGAGAAUGUUUGUUAUGAUUUCCAUUCUUUUGCAUUUGCUGAGGAGUGUUUUACUUCCCAUUAUGUGGUUGAUUUUAGAAUAAGUGCAAUGAGGUGCUAAGAAGAAUGUAUAUUCUGUUGAUUUGGGGUGGAGAGUUCCAUAGAUGUCUAUUAGGUCUACUUGGUCCAGAGCUAAGUUCAAGUCCUGAAUAUCCUUGUUAAUUUUCUGUCUUGUUGAUCUGUCUAAUAUUGACAGUAUGGUGUUAAAAUCUCCCACUAUUAUUGUGUGGGAGUCUGUGUUUCUUUGUAGGUCUCUAAGAACUUGCUUUAUGAAUCUGGGUGCUCCUGUAUUGGGUGCUUAUAUAUUUAGGAUUGUUAGCUCUUCUUGUUGAAUUGAUCCCUUUACCAUUAUAUAAUGGCCUUCUUUGUCUCUUUUGAUCUUUGUUGGUUUAAAGUCUGUUUUAUCAGAGACUAGGAUUGCAACCCCUGCUUUUUUUUGCUUUCCAUUUGCUUGGUAAAUAUUCCCCGAUCCCUUUAUUUUUAGCCUAUGUGUGUCUUUUUCACAUGAGAUGGUUCUCUGAAUACAGCACACAGAUGUGUCUUGACUCUUUAUCCAAUUUGCCAGCCUGGUGGUGAUGACAAAAUCUCUCAGCAUUUGUUUGUCUGUAAAGGCUUUUAUUUCUCCUUCACUUAUGAAGCUUAGUUUGGCUGGAUAUGAAAUUCUGGGUUGAAAAUUCUUUUCUUUAAGAAUGUUGAAUAUUGGCCCCCCUCUCCUCUGGCUUGUAGGGUUUCUGCAGAGAGAUCCACUGUAAGUCUGCUGGGCUUCCCUUUGUGGAUAAACCAGACUUUCUCUCUGGCUGUCCUUAAUAUUUUUUCUUUCAUUUCAACCUUGGUGAAUCUGACAAUUAUGUGUCUUGGGGUUGCUCUUCUCAAGGAGUAUCUUUGUGGUGUUCUCUGUAUUUCCUGAAUUUGAAUGUUGGGCUUUCCUGCUAGGUUGGGGGAAUUCUCCUGGAUAAUAUCCUGAAGAGUGCUUUCCAACUUGGUUUCAUCACUCCAUCACUUUCAGGUACAGCAAUGAAAUGUAGAUUUGGUGUUUUCACAUAGUCUCAUAUUUCUUGGAGGCUUUCUUCAUUCCUUUUUAUUUUUUUCCUCUAACCUUGUCUUGUCACUUUAUUUUAUUAAGUUGAUAUUCAAUCUCUGAUAUCCUUUCUUCCACUUGAUUGGUUUGGGUAUUGAUACUUGCGUAUGCUUCACGAAGUUCUUGUGCUGUGUUUUUCAGCCCCAUCAGGUCAUUUAUGUUCUUCUCUAAAUUGGUUAUUCUAGUUAGCAAUUUGUCUAACCUUUUCUCAAGGUUCUUAGCUUCCUUGCAUCGGGUUAGAACAUGCUCCUUUAGCUGAGAGGAGUUUGUUAUUACCCAUCUUCUGAAGUCUGUCAAUUCAUCAAACUCAUUCUCCAUCCAGUUUUGUCCCCUUGCUGGUGAGGAGUUGUGAUCCUUUGGAAGAGAAGAGGCAUUCUGGUUUUUGGAAUUUUCAGGCUUUUUGCACUGGGUUCUCCCCAUCUUUGUGGAUUUAUCUACCUUUGGUCUUUGAUGUUAGUGAUCUUCCGAUGGGGUCUCUGACUGAACGUGCUAUUCCUUUUUGCUUGUUAGUAUUCCUUCUAACAGGCCCUUCUGCUGCAGGUCUGCUGGUGUUUGCUGGAGGUCCACUCCAGACCCUGUUUUCCUGGGUAUCACCGGCAGCGGCUGCAGAACAGCAAAGAUUGCUGCCUGUUCUUUCCUCUGGAAGCUUUGUCCGAGAGGGGCACCUGCCAGAUGCCAGCCAGAGCUCUCCUAUAUGAGGUGUAUGUUAGGCCCUACUGGGAGGUGUCUUCCUGUCAGGAUACACGGGGGUGAGCGACCCACUUGAGGAGGCAGUCUGACCCUUAGCAGAGCUUGAACACUGUGCCAGGACAUCUGCUGCUGUCUUCAGAGCCAUCAGGCAGGGACAUUUAACUCUGCUGAAGUUGUGCCCACAGCCACCCCUUCCCCCCAGGUACUCUGUCAGCCCCUGACUUCGACUGCUGCCUUAUUUUCAGAGAUGCCCUGCCCAGAGAGAAGGAAUCUAGAGAGGCAGUCUGGCCACAGUGGACUUGCUGAGCUGUGGUGGGCUCCGCCCAUUUCUAACUUCCCAGUGGCUUUCUUUACACUGUGAGGGUAAAACUGCCUACCCAUGCUUCACCAAUGGCAGACAUCCCUCCCCUCACCAAACUUGAGCUUCCCAGGUCAACCUCAGACUGCUGUGCCUACAGCGAGAAUUUCAUGCCAGUGGAUCUUAGCUUGCUAGGCUCCAUUCAAGUGGGACCCACCAAGCUAUACCACUUGGCUCCCUGGCUUCAGUCCCCUUUCCAGGGGAGUGAAUGGUUCUGUCUCAGUGGCAUUCCAGGUGCCACCGUGUUAUGAAAAAAAACUGCGGCUAGCUCAGUGUCUGCCCAAACGGCUGCCCACUUUUGUGCUUGAAAUCCAGGGUCCUGGUGGUGUAGGCACUGGAGGGAAUCUCCUGGCCUGGGGGUUGUGAAGACCAUGGGGAAAACAGUAUCUGGGUCGGAGUGCAUCAUUCCUCAUGGCGCAGUCCCUCAUGGCUCCCUUUGGGUAGGGGUGAGAAUUCCCCGACGUUUUGCACUUCAAGGGUGAGGCGAUGUCCCACCCUGCUUCUGCUCUCCCUCCAUGGGCUGCACCCACUGUCCAACCAGUCCCAUUGAGAUGAACCAGGUGCCUCAGUUGGAAAUGCAGAAAUCACCACCUUCUGUGUCAGUCUCGCUGGGAGCUGCAGACUGGAGCUCUUCCUAUUCAGCCAUCUUGCCAGAAGUCCUCCAUUUUUUUACAUUGGUAGAGUAUAACCCUCAUUGACAAAAUCAACCUUCUGUCAGAAUAACACCUCAUUCUCUGAGGCAAAUGUACUUGUAACAGGCAUAAUAGAGCAUCUGGCAUGUUAGAAGUGUUGUAGAUCUUGAUGUGAAUGGUGUUUAUGAAAGUUUAUACACGUGUAAAUAUUCAUUAAUGUUUAUACUUAAUAUGAUUGCUCUUAACUGCAUUUAUUUUAUAUUUCAACAGAGCAAAAGAAAACAUGAAAGAACUAGAUAUGCAAAAAAAUAAAAUGACAUACCAAGUAUAGUGGUGCAUGCCUGUAGCCCUAGCUUCUUGGGAAGCUGAGAUGGGAGCAUUGCUUCUGCUUAGGCAUUUGAGUUAUGCCUGGGUAACAUAGGGAGACCCCAUGUCUAAAUAGAAAUAAAAACAAGACACAUAGAGAAGUUUGAGAAUAAAAUAUAGACAACAGAAUAAAACCCCACAUUAACAUAAAUCUUGGAAUUCUCUGAAAGUUGUAUAACAGUAAAUGUUACUACAUAUAUAUAGAAAUAAAUUCAAAGGUAAAUAAUACCAGCAUAACAAUAUAAAAUAUUUUAAAAUAUUAAAUGAACAUUUUGCAACUAAAAAUACACUAACUAUAGCGAAUUGCUUAAUGAAUGGGUUUAAUACCAGAUAUUUCAUAGCUAAAUAAUUCAUAAAUUGGAAAAUAAAUGAGAAAACAACAUACAGUCUUAAGAAAAAAAUAUAGAGAAAAGGCAAUGAAGAAGCUUAUAGAGCUUAGGUUGAAAUUAGACUUCCCAAGGAGAGAUAAGAUAGAAUGGAGAAGAAGCUAUUGAACAGAUAAACACCUGGAAUUUUUCAGAGCAGAUUAAAGAUAUUGGGUUACAUAUUGGAGGAGAACUAUGAGCCUGAAACCAGAUAUAAGAAAACAUGUUUAGGCAGAAAAUAUUCAAAAGACUAUAAAACACAUAUUAAAGAAAGUUCCUAAAAAUUGAAAGAGAACAAAAUGCAUUUCCUUUCAAAGUAACAAUACUAUUGCUAACUUCUAAAUAAAAGCAAUGAAAUUCAGAAGAUGAUAGAAUAAUAUCAUCUAAAUGCUAAAAGGAAAUAACUGCCAGUCUAUAAUACUUUAUCCAGCAAAAAAAAUUCUUUAAUGAUGAAGAAAAGAAAACCAGACAGGACUUCGAUAAGAAAAUACAGGACUUGAACAAUACUAUAAUCAGUUGGACCUAACAGACACAUGCAAAGCACUCCACACAACAGUAACAAAAAACCACAUUUUUCUCAAUGCAUAUGGAAACUUCUCCAAGAUGCAACAUAUGUUAGUAAUAUAUGAGUUUUAAAAAGUUAUUUAGGCAGAUAGUGAGAGCACAGGAGUCCUCAGUAAGGUUUUCCUUUUAAUGAAAAGCAGCCCAAAAUACUUUCUUUUCCUACAAAUAGCAGACUGUAAAAUGACUUGCAGACAUAGAGAAACAAGCUGGAAGCUUGCACUGGUGAAUGCCAUCAGUUGUGCUAAUAAGAAAAGGCUGCCUGGGACUGGGCACAUUCAAAAUGUCAGUUCCAUCUUCCCUUCUCUUUGCCAGCCACAUGUACAGUAAGGAGCAGGGAACAUGGCAUUAGUCAAGCAAAGAUCCCAUUUGCAUAAUAAGACGAUUAGGAUGGGAUGGCCAGCUUCCCCAUGCACUAUGUAAACCUCACCCCUGGUCCAACCAAUCUGUGGGCUCUAUGUAAAUUAGACACUGCUUCCUCAAGCCUGUCUGUAAAAUCUGGUUCACUCUGCCAUGGGGCAGAAUUCUUAUUUGGACGCCCCCUCUCUCACAAGAGAGAGAGCUAUUCUCCUUUCUCUUUCUUUGGAAAUAAAACUUCUACUCCUAAACUCACUCCUUGUGUGUGUCCAUGCCCUUAGACUUCUUGUUGCAAGACGAUGAACCUCAGGUAUUUACCUUAGACAACAAUGCAUCUUCAUACUGGGGGUGUGUCCAGGAUCCCAAGGUACUUUCAUUGGAAUGUUGAAUACAGGAGUGAAACUCAACUCUGUCCUUUCAUUUCAAGGCUCUCAGCCUCCAUUUUAGAAUCAAAUCAUACCAAAUACUGGGCUCCCUUCAGUCAUUUAAAAAUAAUUAGCAUGGCUGCCAGCUUUACAAGACAUGGGGGAGAGGCUUGCUGGGGAAAACAUGUAGAAUCCCCCAGUACCCACACGUUGCUGGGCAUAUUGGCCAUGUUUGAACCAGUUUUCUUUCAGAGGACCUAGCAAUUGAAUGGGGCUGGAAAAAGUUCUGAAGCAACUGAGGAUUUCUGGCGGAAGCUACUCCCUGGUGUUGUUCAAAGGAUUUGGACUGACCUCAUCCUCUGACUGCCUGACAGAGUGUCAGCAACAGGAUCUCCAGCUUUCAUACUAUAAUUUCCUCCAUUCCUGUCUGCAACCACCAUGUCUCCCAUCCUCUCUCUCUUUGUAUGCAAUGCCACAGCAAUUUUACAGUUCAGGGAAGUAAUCUUGUUAGGUAAGAUCAGGAAAUGCCAUAGUAACUGAAGGUGUAGCUCAAGGGAAUGCCGUUGUAAUUUUCUAGGAAUAGAGGGUCCCUCAUCACAGUGAAGUCACUCUCUGCCCUUGGUCUGGAGAGCAUAUGGCAUUUCCAGGUAACACUCUACCCUUGUCUGGAGAGCACAUGGCAUUUGAAGUUCACUCUCUGCCCUUGGUAUGGAGAGCACAUGACAUGUCAUGGUCACCCUGUGCCCUUAGUCUAGAGAUCACAUGGCAUUUCAAGGUCAACAGCGCCACCUAGUGGGAUGGGAAUUCUCUCCAUGAAGCACAUUGUUGGUCCUCUGCCAAAACACUCUAGCCUCCAAAUUCUCCUCCCUUUUUGUGCCCCUCUGCUAGAGACCAGGCUUCAUGCUGCUUCUGUGAACAGGAAAACUCUGCCUUCAACAACAAUUAGGAGUAAAAUGUCCUCCAAAGACAAAGUUGUUUAGUUUCGAUACUGUCCCAUCAACUAGAAAACUGCCAUUUGGUCCCUAUGUUCUUUUAAGGCACCUAUUCUGCCUCCAAUUAAAAUGGUACUGAAAUAGUAAGGGGAUUUUUUUUCUUUUUCUUUUUUAAUUAAAUUAAUUAUACUUUAAAUUCUAGGGUACAUGUGCACAACGUGCAGGUUUGUUACAUAUGUAUACAUGUGCCAUGUUGGUGUGCUGCACCCAUUAACUCGUCAUUUACAUUAGGUAUAUUUCCUAAUGCUAUCCCUCUCCCCUACCCCCACCCCAUGACAGGCCCCAGUGUGUGAUGUUCCCCUUCCUGUUCCAAGUGUUCUCACUGUUCAAUUCCCACCUAUGACUGAGAACAUGUGGUGUUGGGUUUUUUGUUCUUGUGAUUGAUAGUUUGCUGAGAAUGAUGGUUUCCAGCUUCAUCCAUGUCACUACAAAGGACAUGAACUCAUCCUUUUUUAUGGCUGCAUAGUAUUCCAUGGUGUCUAUGUGCCACAUUUUCUUACUCCAGUCUAUCAUUGAUGGACAUUUGGGUUUGUUCCAAGUCUUUGCUAUUGUAAAUAUACGUGUGCAUGUGCCUUUAUAGCAGCAUAAUUUAUAAUCCUUUGGGUAUACGCCCAGUAGUGGAAUGGCUGGGUCAAAUGAUAUUUCUAGUUCUAGAUCCUUUCUGCACAGCAAAAGAAACUACCAUCAGAGUGAACAGGCAACCUACAGAAUGGGAGAAAAUUUUUGCAACCCUCUUGUCUGACAAAGGGCUAAUAUCCAGGAUCUACAGAGAACUCAAACAAAUUUACAAGAAAAAAAACAAACAACCCCAUCAACAAGUGGGCAAAGGAUACGAACAGACACUUCUCAAAAGAAGACAUUUAUGCAGCCAACAGACACAUGAAAAAAUGCUCAUCAUCACUGGCCAUCAGAGAAAUGCAAACCAAAACCACAGUGAGAUACCAUCUCACACCAGUUAGAAUGGCAAUCAGCAAGGGGAUUUCAAGUUUGGAAGUUAAUUGGAACCAUUCUCUAAGGGUAAACGCUUUAACAUGGGCCAUAAUAAGCAGGAUAUAGAGUUCAAUCUAGCAUGCACUAUCCAUUAAAGGAGCCUUGCUCAAAUGCAAAUAUUAUAGUUUUUCCCAAGAUCCAUCCUUCUAGGAGCCACAGAGGCCACAUAAGUCUAGGAAGUCAAAGGGAAAUCACAAGUGGAGGACUAGAGUCACAUGGGUAAGCAUGACUAAUCUCAAUUGCUUAGUUCCUCUGGUCCUGUAUUUUUAAAUGGCUGCAGGGUUGCAAGAAUGCAGCCAUGGGCAGCACAUUAAAUAAGGUGCUGGUACUCAGGAGCCAAGGAGGGAAAUCAGUAGGUGGAGCAUGCCACCACUGUCUUCCCCUCCACCCUAGGUCACACCAAUAGGAAGGAGACUAAAGGGACAUCUUUUUCAUGCUUCCAUUUCUAGAUGAGUAACAGAUCAUCUUCGGCCUGUAGUCCUCUGGAGUGCAUUUGAAAACACUGGGACUCUUUUUACCCUGAGAUAUGAAGAAAAGUGGCUUUUUUUUUCCCACAAAGGUGUGGCCUUCUUACCCACUUGAAACAGCCUAAACUGUGGAAGGAAGCUUUAAUUUAAAUUGUGUCCAAGAAUUAGAUCUUUUCUCCAUAUGGGAGGGAAAAUGGCCCAAGGUCCAUUAUAUACAAGAUUUCUUUGCCCUAUGAGAAAACCCAGACCUUUGCAAGCAUUGCACAAUUCACCCAGCCCUUCUAGCAAUCAUAUCAGGAAGGCCCAAAGGGAAUGAUUCCCCAAGACUAGAAAAGCAACUUCCAGAGUGUAUUAGUCUGUUUUUCACACUGCUGAUAAAGAUGAUAUACCCAAGACUAGGCAAUUUACAAAAGAAAGAAAGAGGUUUAAUUGGACUCACAGUUUCACAUGGCUUGGGAGACCUCACAAUCAUGGUGGAAGGCAAGGAGGAGCAAGUCAUAUCUUACAUGGAUGGUGUCAGGCAAAGAGAAGAACAUGUGCAGGGAAAUUCCUCUUUUUAAAACUAUCAGAUCUCAUGACACUUAUUCACUAUGACAAGAACAGCACAGGAACAACCUGCCCCCAUGAUUCAAUUACCUCCCAGCAGGUCCCUCCCACAAUACAUGUGAAUUCAAGAUGAAAUUUGUGUGGGGACACAGCCGAACCAUAUAAUUCCACCACUGGUCCCUCCCAAAUCUCCUGUCCUAACAUUUCAAAACCAAUGAUGCCUUCCCAACAGUCCCCCAGAGUCUUAACUCAUUUUAACAUUAACUCAAAAGUACAUAGUCCAAAGUCUGAAGUCUCAUCUAAAACAAGGCAAGUCCCUUCUGCCUAUGAGCCUGUAAAAUUGAAAGCAAGUUAGUUACUUCCUAGAUACAAUGGGGGUACAGGCAUUUCAUAAAUACAGCCAUUCCAAAUGGGAAACAUUGACCUAAACAAAUGGGCUUCAGGCUGCGGGGAAGUCUGAAGUCCAGUGGGGCAAUCAAAUCUUAAAGCUUCAAAAUGAUCUCCUUUGACUCCAUGUCUCACAUCCAGGUCACACUGAUGCAAGAAGUGGGUUCACAAGAUCUUGGUCAGCUCCACCCAUGUGUCUUUGCAGAGUAAAGCCUCCUUUCUGGCUGCCUUAAUUGGCUGAAGUUGAGUGACCAUGAAUUUUCCAGGUGCAUGGUGCAAGCUGUUGGUGAAUCUACCACUCUAGGGUCUGAAGGACAGUGGCCCUCUUCUCACAGCUCCACUAGGCAGUGCCCCAGUAGGGAUACUGUUUGGGGGCUCCAACCCUACAUUUGUCUUCUGCACUGCCCUAGCAGAGGUUCUCCAUGACAGCCCCAUCUCUGCAGCAAACUUCUGCCUGGACAUCCAAGCAUUUCCAUACAUCUUCUGAAAUUUAGGUGGAGGUUCCCAAACUCCAGUUCUUGACUUCUGUGCACUGGCAGGCUCAACAUAAUGUGGACAAGGCUUGAGGCUUACACCCUCUGAAGCCACAGCUUGAGUUCUUUAUUGGUCCCAUUCAGCCAUGGCUGUAGUGGCCAGGAUGCAGGGCACCAGUCCCUAAGCUGCAUAAAGCAUGGGGACCUCAAGCCCAGCCCACAAAACCACUUUUUCUUUGUAGGACUCUGGACUUGUGUCAAGAAGGGCUGCUGUGAAGGCCUCUGAAAUGCUCUAGAGACAUUUUCCCCAUUGUUUUGGGGAUUAACUUUUGACUUCUCAUUACUUAUGUAAAUUUAUGCUGCUGGAUUGGAUUUCUCCUCAGAAAAUAGGAUUUUCUUUUCUAUUGCAUUGUCAGGCUACAAAUUUUCUGAACUUUUAUGCUCUAUUUCCCUUUUAAAACUUAAUGCCUUUAACAGCACCCAAGUCACCUCUUGAAUGCUUUGCUGCUUAGAAAUUUCUUUUGCCAGAUAACUUAAAUUCUCUCUCUCAGGUUCAAAGUUUCAUGAAUAUCUAGGGUAGAGGCAAAAAGCUGCCAGUCUCUUUGCUAAAACAUAACAAGAGUCACCUUUGUUCCAGUUCCCAAGAAGUUUAUCUCCAUCUGAGACUACCUCAGCCUGGGCCUUAUUGUUCAUAUCACUAUCAGCAUUUUUGUUAAAGCCAUUCAACAAGUCUCUGGAAGGUUUCAAACUUUCCCACAUUUUCCUGUCUUCUUCUGAGUCCUCCAAACUGUUCUAACCUCUGCCUGUUACCCAGUUUCAAAGUUGCUUUCACAUUUUGGGGUAUCUUUUCUGUAGUGCCCCACUCUACUGGUACUAAUUUACUGAAUUAGUCCAUUUUCACACUGCUGAUAAAGACAUACUUGAGACUGGGAAGAAAAAGAGAUUUUAAUGGAAUUACAGUUCCACGUGGUGGGGGAGGCCUCACAAUCAUGGAAGAAGGCUAGGAGGAGCAACAGGCCAAAAAGGCUUGUGCAGAGAAACUCCCAUUUUUAAAACCAUCAGAUCUCGUGAGACUUAUUCACUAUCACAAGAACAGCACAGGAAACACCUGACCCUAUGAUUCAAUUACCUUUCACCAGGUCCCUCUCAUAACACCUGGGAAUUCAGGAUGAGAUUUGGGUGGGGACACAGCCAAACCAUAUCAUGGAGAAAUCAUCUAUUGAGUGUUACAGCCCUUCCAAUCCCCCUUACCUGGGGCAACCUCCCACUGCACCACCAGGUGCUCUACCCCCACCACCUUAAAAACUCCCCAUUUCUGCACCUUCACACUUAUGCCUACAGGUAAUGCCCAACAGAGGUGAUGCCACAAGGGUUCAAGCUCCCUUCUUAUUGCAGGACCUUAGGCAAAUAAAGGGAGACUUAGGCAGAUUUUUUAUGACACUGUUAGGUAUAUAGAAGCUUUCCAAAACCUAACUCAGGUGUUUGACCUCUUGUGGAGGGAUGUUAUGCUGCUCCUAAUCCAAACCCUAACCACAGUGAAAAGCAGGAAGCUCUGCAGGCAACAGAGAAAUUACGAGAUGAGCAGUAUGUCUUCUAUAGUAGGCCAAAAAGGAAAAGAGAAAAUAAAUAGGGAAGGUGAAGAAAUAGGGGAAAAGCCAUUCCCAAUAAGAAGAGGGGCAAUACCUCUUGACAACCUUAAUUGGAACUUCAGUGACACCACAGAUGAAUGAAAAAGAAAACAGUUUCUAAUGUGCAUAUUGGAGGGCCUAGAAAGAAUUAGGGCCAAAGAUCUUAAUUACUCCAAACUGUCUAUGAUAGACCAAAAGCCAGAUGAGAAUCCCACAGCCUUUAUGGAAAGACAGACAGGCACUAAUAAAACACACCUCCUUAUUCCCCAAUUCAGUUGAGGGACAGCUCAUCCUGAAGGACAAGUUUAUUACACAGGAAGAUCCUGAUAUUAGAAGGAAACUACAGAGGCAGGUUAUAGGACCAGAUAGCACCUUGAAGAACCUCCUGAGGGUGGCCACCAUUGUCUUUUAUUAUAGGGACCAGAAGGAGGUCCAGGAGAAAGAGAGGAAGUAAAAGAGAAGAACAGAGGCUCUAGUAACUGCUUUGCAAACUUGCAAAGUCCAGAAUCCCUGAGGUGCAUCCAUUAGUUGCUAUCAGUGCAGCAAGUCAGGGCACUUUAAGGAGUGCCCAGGCAGCAAGAAGAAACCACCAUGACCCUGUCCAGAAUGUGAUGGGGAUCACUGGAAAUUGGAUUGUCCCUGGAGAUAAAGGUCACUGGGUUCAGAACCAAUCUCACAGGUGAUCCAACUGGGCUGAUAUGUCCUGGGGCUCAAACCUCUGGCUCCAGGAGCUCAAAUGCCACUACAGCACAGGAGCCCCAGGUGAUUCUGGAAAUUGAAGGAAGAAAGGUAGACCUCCUUCUGGACACUACAGCAAGCCUCUCUCUUCUUCUUUCUAAUCCAGGCCUCCCAUCUUCCCAUAACUGUGAGGGGCACCUCAGAAAAAACUCUAAUCUGUUAUUUUUCUUAACCCCUUAGUUGCAGUUGGGGGGAACCUAUUAGUUACACAUGCCUUUUCAAUCACACCUGAAAGUCCCACUCCUUUAUUAGGUAGAGACAUUUUGGUUCACAUGGGGGACAAACUCUUUGUCUCCCCCUGGUAGAAGCUAAUAUCAAUCCAGAAGUGUGAGCAACAAGGAAGAGUAGGUUGAGCAGUAACCACUAGGCCAGUCCAGAUCCAUCUUAAUGAUCCCACUUAUUUUCCCAACCAAAGACAAUACCCCCUAAAGCCAGAGGCUAGGAAAGGGCUAGAAGCCAUUAUUAAAAACCUGAAGAUGCAGGACCUUUUCAAACACUGUAACAGCCCCUGCAACACCCCAAUAUUAGGAAGGCAAAAUCCCAAUGGGGAAUGGAGACUACUUCAGGACCUCUGCCUCAUUAAUGAGGUGGUAGUCCCAAUUUAUCCAGUAAUACCUAUUCCCUAAUACUGUGCUGACCCAAAUACCUCAGGGAACUAAAUGAUUUGCAGUCCUAGGUUUAAAGGAUGCCUUUUCUGUAUACCAUCACAUCCUGACUCUCAAUACCUGCUUGUCUUUGAAGAUCCCUCUGGCCAAAUUGCCCAGUUAACAUGGAUAGCGCUGCUUAGGGAUUUUGAGACAAUCCUCUUUUGUUUGGACAGGCUCUAUCAAAAGACCUCUCUGAGGUUUUCCAUCCUCAGGUCAGGGUCUUGCAAUAUGUGGAUGAUAUACCACUCUGUGCCCCACCUGAGGAAGCUUCCCAGGAAAGCACUGAAGUUCUUAAUUUAUUAACUAACAGAAGAUAUAAGGUUUCAAAAUAUAAGGCCCAGCUUUGCAAAAUCUCAGUGAAGUACUUGGAUGUAGUUCUGUCUGAAGGGACCAGAGCAUUAGGGGAAGAAAGGAUUAAGCCCAUUUUUUCCUUUUCCCUCCUCAAAACCCUAAAGCAACUAAGAAGAUUUUUGGGCAUUACAGGAUUUUGCAGGCUAUGGAUACCUGGGUAUGGUGAGAUAGCUUAUCCUCUAUAUCACCUCAUAAAGAAACUCAAGUGGCUAAAACUCCUCUCUUAAUCUGGGAACCUGAAGCUCAAAAGGCCUUUAACCAGUUACAACAAGGCUUGCUUAAGGCACCAACCCUCAGUCUUUUCAUAGGGCCUUCAAUCUGUAUGUAUCAGAAAGGAAGGGAAUGGCCCUGGGAGUUUUAAUGCAUGCCUGAGGACAGCUCAACAGCCAGAGAUUUAUCUGAGUGAGAAAUUUAAUUUGGUGGCUAAAGGAUAGCCAGCAUGCCUCUGAGAUAUUGCCAUGGUGGCCCUACUGGUCCCAGAAGCCUCCAAAUUAAUCCUGGGAAAGGAUUUAACUGUUUACACCCCACAUAAUGUGGCAGGAUUACUCUCCUCCAGGGAACAUUUAGCUAACAGAUAGCCAGCUCCUUAAAUAUCAAGCUGUCUUGUUAGAGGGUUCCACCAUCCAGGUAAAAACUUGCUCUUGCCUAAACCCAGCCACUUUUCUCCCUGAGGAAACAGGGAAACCUGAGCAUGACUUAAACAGGUUGUGGUACAGACCUAUGCAGCCAGGGAGGAUCUCAGAGAAACUUUCCUAGAAAAUCCAGACCGGACCCUCUUUAUGGAUGGAAACUCCUUUGUGGAGCAAGGAGUCCAUAAGGUGGGAUAUGCAAUAAUCACUCUGAAUUAUGCAAUUGAAAGUGCAUCUCUUGCUUCAGGCCUAAGCACUCAACUAGUUGAACUGAAAGCCCUUAUAAGAGCACUUGAAUUAAGUAAGGGAAAGGUAGCUAACAUUUACACUCACAUCAAGUAUGCUUUCUUAGUUAUCCAUCAUGCUCAUGCUGCCAUUUGGAAGGAAGGACACUUUUGUACUGCCAAUAGAUCCCCUAUAAAAUACCAACAGGAAAUUAACAGUUUUCCUUCCACAAGAGUUUGCAGAGAUGCAUUGUAAGGGACAUAAGAAAGGAGUAGAUAAAAUACCCAGUGGAAACAUGUUAGCUGAUCAGGCAGCCAAGUCAGCAGCAAGGAAGCCUCAGGACAUCAGCACACUUCAAGGCCCUUUAAUCUGGGAAGGCUUCAUAAUAAAUUAAACCUCAGUACUCCCCUGCAGAAAUGGAAUGGGGCACUUCUUUAGGGUACACUCUCCAGUCCUCAGAAUGGCUACAAUCAGGAUGGCAAGCUCCAUUUGCCAGCCUCCAGCCAAUGGAAAAUCCUUAAACUCCUUCACCAAGCUUUUCACUUGGGAAAGGAUAAAAUUUAUCACUGUUUCCAGAGAUUGUUUUCAGGAAAGAGCUUAUUAAGAACAGUCAAACAGGAUGUUAAUUGUUGUAAAGUCUGUCUUAAAAAUAAUUCCCUCAACAGAUGGCUCCUUCCUUCUCAAAUCCAAAGGAUGGGAAACUACCCAGGGGAGGACUGGCAAAUUGACUUCACCUACAUGCCAAAGAUGAAGGGCAUCCAAUACCUCCUGGUAUUGGUAGAUAUUUCCACUAACUAGGUAGAAGCACUUCCAUGCCAUACAGAAAAAUCCUGAGGUAAUAAAAGUGUUAAUUAAUGAAAUUAUUCCUUGUUUUGUCUACCUAAGUACCUCUAAGUGACAACAGCCCCUCAUUUAAGGCAGCAGUCACACAGGGCAUCUCAAAGGCACUAGACAUACAGUAUAAUCUCCAUUGUGCUUGGAGACCUCAGUCCUCAGGAAAGGUAGAGAAGACAAGUGAUAUCAUCAAAAGACAUCUCAGGAAACUGUCUCAUGAAACCCACCUUCCUUGGGUCACUAUUCUUCCCAUGGCUUUACUGUGAAAAUUAACUCAACUAGCAGAAGCCCAACCGCAAGAAACAGGACCACCUUUAUUUAACUCAGAAGAUUUGGUGUUGGUAAAAGCUCUCCCUUCCCUCUCUACUUCCCUAUGCCUAAUCUAGGAAGGGCCCUGAAUUGCUCUUCUUUCAAUCCCCUCCACAGUAGAAGUUACAGAUAUCAGCUCCUGGAUACAUCAUACUAAAGUCAAAGCCUGGAAAACCAAGAGAGCAACCCCUGACAACCUAGAGGAAUGUCCUGGAGAUUAAUGUGAAGAACUAGGAGAUUUCAAGCUGAAAAUCAUAAAAGAUAAGUAAAUGAGUAAGGGCUACUCAUCCUACUUAGUCCCAUGUUUACCUUACCAGAUACAUUUAGUCAUUUCUACUUUUCCUCUUGAGAGUCACUACCAGGUUUUAAAACAUAUUUUGAUGCAUACUUGCAGGGAGAUUUUUAAUUAUUCAUGAAAUUGCAUUUGUAACUUCAUAGACACCCAAAGGGAAAUGUUAUGUCUUGGCAAUGAUGGAAAAUCUUAUUGAUGUGAAAAGUCACUGAACAGGGAAUUGGAAACCUGGAUUUGAAAAAAAUGUCUUCUUCUCAUUCAUAGUAUGAAGAGAUGUACAGAGGUAUUUGGUGGCAAAAAGAUGGAGGAGAGAAACCUUAAUUGAGUGGAACCAAAAAUGAAUUUGAAUAGAUAUGGAGUUGGGGAUGUCUUUCAAUAACCUGCAAACCUGAAUGUUGACAUGGAAUGUUAUUUGGUCAGGUAUGCACCAGAAAAAGAGUUGAAUGUGGAUAAUUAUUAGAGGAAAUUAUAGUAGUUCUGUAGAAUGAUAUAUACAAUGAGAAUAGAACUCAGAGACCAGAUUAUGAGAUUGUUCCUCUCUUUGGCCUCUGUCUUGAAGGAAGUCUGGAUUAUGGAAAUGCAGAUUCUAUAAUAAAGCCUGGCUCUCCAUUCCAAGAUGGCUGAAUAGGAACAGAUCUGGUCUGCAGCUCCCAGUGUGAUCAAUGCAGAAGACAGGUGAUUUCUGCAUUUCCAACUAAGCAUAUACCUGAAAGUGGAAUUUCUGAGUCAUAUGGUUACUCUAUGUUUAAUCUUUGGAGCAACUGUGGCUGGAUCAAAGACACACCUAUAAGAACUAAAAAGAAAAUAUUCCUACAAGAAAACAUAGGCAUAAAAUUGGCUGAACCAUUUUAUAUCCUCAGCAGCGUGUAUGAUGGCUUCCAUUUUUUCAUACCCUUGCCAAUGCUUUUCAUUAUCUGUCGUUUUCACUCUAGCCAUCCUAGUGGGUAAGAAGUGGCUUUUUAUUUUGGUUUUAACUUGUAUUUUCCUCAUGGCUAAUGAGGUUGGGCAUUCUUUCAUGUGCUUAUUGACCAUUUGUAUUAUCCUUUUAUGAAAAUAUGUAUUCAGAUU